rnacentral:rRNA from 1 species
AUUGAACGCUGGCGGCAUGCCUUACACAUGCAAGUCGAACGGCAGCACGGGAGCAAUCCUGGUGGCGAGUGGCGAACGGGUGAGUAAAGUAUCGGAACGUGCCCAGUCGUGGGGGAUAACGUAGCGAAAGUUACGCUAAUACCGCAUACGAUCUAUGGAUGAAAGCGGGGGAUCGCAAGACCUCGCGCGAUUGGUGCGGCCGAUAUCAGAUUAGGUAGUUGGUGGGGUAAAGGCUCACCAAGCCGACGAUCUGUAGCUGGUCUGAGAGGACGACCAGCCACACUGGGACUGAGACACGGCCCAGACUCCUACGGGAGGCAGCAGUGGGGAAUUUUGGACAAUGGGCGAAAGCCUGAUCCAGCCAUGCCGCGUGCAGGAUGAAGGCCUUCGGGUUGUAAACUGCUUUUGUACGGAACGAGAAGGUUUGGCCUAAUAAGCUGAGCUCAUGACGGUACCGUAAGAAGAAGCACCGGCUAACUCCGUGCCAGCAGCCGCAGUAA